CGUGCUCGAAAAUGUUAAAGUUCUUAUUUCAUGGUAUAACUUUGGUAUGCUUGGACCUAGAGUCUUCAAACUUGACAUGAAGGUUGGCCAGGAUUAACAGAUGACCACUGGUCAUUUUAAGGUCAUUCAUUUGAAGGUGAAGGUCACUGUGACCUUCAAUAUAAAAAUGUUAAAGUUGUUAUAACUUUGGUAUGCUUGGACCUAGAGUCUUGAAACUUGACAUGAAGGUUGGCCAGAACUAGUAAGUAACCACUGGACAUUUCAAGGUCAUUCAUUUGAAGGUCAAGGUCACUGUGACCUUGAAUGUAAAAAUGUUAAAGUUGUUAUAACUUUGGUAUGCUUGGACCUAGAGUCUUGAAACUUGACAUGAAGGUUGGCCAGAACUAGUAAGUAACCACUGGACAUUUCAAGGUCAUUCAUUUGAAGGUCAAGGUCACUGUGACCUUGAAUGUAAAAAUGUUAAAGUUCUUAUUUCAUGUUAUAACUUUGGUAUGCUUGUACCUAGAGUCUUCAAACUUGAAAUAAAGAUUGGCCAGUACUAGAAGAUGACCACUGGUCAUUUCAAUGUCAUUCAUUUGAAGGUCAAGGUCACUGUGACCUUAAAUGUUAAAAUGUUAAAAUUGUUAUAACUUUGGUAUGCUUGGACAUAGAGUCUUCAAACUUGACAUGAAGGUUUGCAAGCACACUUAGAUGACCACUGGUCAUUUCAAGGUCAUUCAUUCUAAGGUCAAGGUCACUGUGACCUUGAAUGUAAAAAUGUUAAAGUUCUUAUAACUUUGGUAGGUAAAAAUGUUAAAUGUCAAUUCAAGUUCAUAUUUGUGACCUUAAAUGUUAUUGUUGUUCAUGUAUAUGCAUGCAUUCAAAACAUAACACAAGGUUUGCUCAUGCCUUGAAAAGUACUUCAUUUCAUUUUGACCUUUGAACAAUAUUUCAGUAAUUUAAGUAUUGCAUUGACAAAAACACGAAAGGUACUUUCCUGUCAUUUAAAUCAAAAAUCCGGCUUCAAUGCGGUCAUCUCCGACCGCGGAACUCUUGUUAUGUAUCAUAACCUAAGAAGUAAAUUCGCUAAAUUUCACUCAAAGUAUGGUGAUUUAAUUUCAAAAUAUAAUAUUUCUUUAAAAUGGUAUUUAACUAAUUGAAUUUCCCACCCAUCAGUUUAUGGAGAUGUUUUGAAGCGUGUUCGCAAAUUAAAAUAUCUUAAAGAAAAUGUUUAUAUUAAACUUUUCAAUUUAAUUAACUCAUUUUUGUCAAAAGUAUAUGAUGUUAACACAUGCUUGUUGGUUUUCGAUUCACUAUAUCUUUCUUCUCUUAAAAUUUGGAAUUGUUAAUGGAAUGACCAUUUUAUAUGUUUGAUUCGUAAAUAUUUAAUCCCCUAAGCUGGUUUUAUUGGUAAUUCAAUUUUACAGUACUACCCCUGGAUUUUUUUCAUGUUGUGUCAUCGCUUCUCAAUUGUGUCAUUCGAUACACUUUCACUGUUCUUGACUACAUUGAUUUUUUCGAUGUCAUCGCUUCUAUAUAUAUAUACGACACUGUCACUUUUUUAAUCUUCAUGCAUAGGUCAUUGGGUUUAUAGCGUUCAAUUGUAUUAUAUUUUUUUUCUCUGACUGGCGUUUCUUGUUUGAUUUAUUUUUUAGCAGUCACAUAAACAACCAAGCUAUGUAAUAUGAUUUGUUACACCCAUUAUUGCUGCUUCUUCCUGUAUUUGCGCGAUGAUGAUCUAAAAUGUUAAUUUUAUGAUGCUAUAUUCUUAAAUCUUUUUUUUAAAAGAAGGGAUGUAGUUGACACUUGUUCGUGGUUUCAUUUCAUCGUUCCUCAAAAAGUUGUAACUCUGUUGCUCUGGUCAUUUCCUACCAUUAAGUAAUUAAAUGGUAAUUAAAUUGAAUGCGUUUUAAUUCCCUUUUAUUAUUGUUUAAUUUGAGUUGCAAUUCUAUGAGGUUAAUGUUUUUUUACAAGUAAAUGUAUCAUGAAUAUUGCUGGGCCAAGUGUGAGGUUGAGGGCUCUAAAACCGGUUUAAACCCCCAAUGCUUUGCAUUUACCGUUCCAAGACGGUGACCCCAGCUUUAUCCUUAUAUGUGUUUAUGUUGUUUUGUAUUGUGCUGUUUUGUACUGUUUUGGCAUUUGGUCACUUGCCUUAGAUAAAGGACCAAUUAUUGUAUAUAAUGAGAAUGCAAUACUGCUCCAGCAGCUGGAGUUUCACUUUUUUAUAUUGUAUAUAUAACUUAAGUUAAGAUUUCAUUUACCCGGUAAGAGCUGUGUGAAAACUGGCCCAGGUGCAGUUCACUGUUCAUACAUUUCUGUGCUUGAUCUUUAGGUUAUUUGAUAGUGGUCAGCAUAUCUGAUAUGAGAACUAUUAAUGCCGACAUGUCUUUUAAUAUCUUAAUAUCAGUCCCUUAAUAUUUUAUUAAAUUUACGUUAGGAUGAUAAGUUCCACUUCAGUUUGAAUACAUAUACAUGUAUAUUUGUUGUUUUAUUUUCUUUUAGUUUUUUAUAAAGAUUUAAUUAAUUGUUAUUCUUGCUGAUUAUGUAAGGUUUGUGAUGAAACUGUUGAAGUUACAUAGUAAUCAUCAUACAUAUGAGUUUAUUAUGUACUCAAAUAAGGUCUUAAAUUUAACUAUAUAUAUAUAUAUUAAAACUUUAAACUUAAUUUCUUUUAUAUAUCAUAUCUACCUUUUGAAUAUGUUUGUGAUUUACAAUAAAGUGAUUAAACUUUCCUUGUACUUUAAAGAAUUUGUUGUAUAUUACAUUAAUUGCACACGUUUUAUGGGAACCACUUGAUUUAUUGUCUUAAAAAAUCCUAAUUUUAACAAACAUUAUCAUAAAUAAAACAUCUAUUUUGUUUUUAUUUGUGUUUUAAGAUAUUUACUUUUACCUAACCUUACUACAAACUAUAUGAUGCAUGUAUUUUUUGGUUUGAUUCAUGUUGGAUAUGCAUUCAUCUGCAUAUGAAGUAGACAAUUUGUAUGAGUAUUGAUACAUACUGCACAUAUUUGUUUGCUUUUCUUUUAAAACAAUUAAUUCUCCUUAAGAUUCUUUUACUUAACUUAGGAAAUUGUUGAUAUUGUUGGCAAUUUGAGGUGCAAUUAUGUCUGUGAUAGUGUAAAGGUGCUAUUACUUUGUUCUACAAUUGUUUUUGCCUGGUUGUGUUUGUAUUGUAUAGUUUAUACUCUCUUUUGAGCUAUUAAAUAUAUUAUCAUUGCUAGAAUUUGAAACCAGGUUUGAAAAUGAAAAAUGAUACACUAAUAUUCCGAAGAAAAGAUGAAAAAAGACACAUGUCUUAAAAAUUAUUUUAUCCAUCACAUUUUAUGAUUUGGCAUAAAUGAAACCAUUUUUUAAAAAUAUAUAUUUUGUCAAGCUAUUUCACUUGUUUUAUUGCCAUGUAUACUUUCAUUUUGGAAUAUGUGUCAUAUAAAAAUGUGCUUUAAAAUUGUUGUUUAUCCACCAUGAACAUGUCCAUUAAACAAAUUGUCCUGA